rnacentral:rRNA from 1 species
CACGUAGGGUGCGAGCGUUGUCCGGAAUUAUUGGGCGUAAAGAGCUCGUAGGCGGUCUGUCGCGUCGAUCGUGAAAACUUGGGGCUUAACCCUGAGCUUGCGGUCGAUACGGGCAUGACUGGAGUUCGGCAGGGGAGACUGGAAUUCCUGGUGUAGCGGUGAAAUGCGCAGAUAUCAGGAGGAACACCGGUGGCGAAGGCGGGUCUCUGGGCCGAUACUGACGCUGAGGAGCGAAAGCGUGGGGAGCGAACAGG